GUCAGUCACGCGAAUCAAUAUCAGUAUCGAGUCAUCGAGAUCAUCAGUCGAACGAAUAAGUACCACAGUAUCGCGCAAUUUUAUAACGAAUAUCAUCGAGCGAGCAACGCUUGCGAUUAACUUUGUAUUUUACAUUUUAAAAUAUCUGUAAUUAUAGUUAACGAAAUCAACUCGUUUCGUUAUUAAUUUAAAUUGAUCUCACCGUCCACCACAUAAGUACUUAACGCAGAUGUUACUCGAUUAAAAAUUCACAUUUAUUUCACAUCAGUGGAAAAUUGGAUACAACGCAUGGCCACGGGUAGAACUAUUAGGUUUGCACCAAUGUACAGAGAGAAGAUGAUAUAUUUAUACUGAACUUUAUUUCGUAAAAUAAAAAACCAAACGUAUUCAUCAAUACAUUUUACUGCAACUUAUAUUUAUAUUUGGGUAAAUUCUUCGAACGAAGAAAGACGAAAGAUGCAGGAGUUGUAAUAUGGUUGCACUCGUUAUAUGCAAAACUGAAACCUGUUUUGCUAAUGAUUAUCAUAAGUUAUUUGCGAUAUCUCUGUGGCUGACCUUUUGCUCCCCUAUCUUUGACUAUGACAUUGACCGUUCGUUUCUUUUAAAUGAUCAUUAUGAAAGUUUACAACUUUUUA